UACGGAGGGUGCGAGCGUUGUCCGGAAUCAUUGGGCGUAAAGGGCGCAUAGGUGGCCACUUCAAGCGUGCGGUGAAAGUCGGGGGCUCAACCCCUGAUCGGCCGUGCGAACUGGGGGGCUGGAGCACUGUAGAGGCAGGCGGAAUUCCGGGUGUAGCGGUGGAAUGCGUAGAGAUCCGGAAGAACACCGGUGGCGAAGGCGGCCUGCUGGGCAGUUUUGCUGACACUGAGGCGCGACAGCGUGGGGAGCAAACAGG
rnacentral:rRNA from 1 species